GACAGAGGAUGCAAGCGUUAUCCGGAAUGAUUGGGCGUAAAGCGUCUGUAGGUUGUGUGACAAGUUUUCUGUCAAAGAUCAGGGCUUAACCCUGGGCCGGCAGGAAAAACUAUCAUGCUAGAGUUCGGUAGAGGCAGAGGGAAUUCCCAGUGGAGCGGUGAAAUGCGUAGAUAUUGGGAGGAACACCAAAGGCGAAAGCACUCUGCUGGGCCGAGACUGACACUGAGAGACGAAAGCGAGGGGAGCAAAU
rnacentral:rRNA from 1 species